AGAGUUUGAUCAUGGCUCAGGAUGAACGCUGGCGGCGUGCUUAACACAUGCAAGUCGAACGGAGCCUAGCGAGUGCUUGCACUUGCGAAAGCUUAGUGGCGGACGGGUGAGUAACGCGUGGGUAACCUGCCCUAUACUGGGGGAUAACAGUUGGAAACGACUGCUAAUACCGCAUAAGCCUACGGUGUCGCAUGACACAGUAGGAAAAACUCCGGUGGUAUAGGAUGGACCCGCGUCUGAUUAGCUAGUUGGUGAGGUAACGGCCCACCAAGGCGACGAUCAGUAGCCGGCCUGAGAGGGUGAACGGCCACAUUGGGACUGAGACACGGCCCAAACUCCUACGGGAGGCAGCAGUGGGGAAUAUUGCACAAUGGGGGAAACCCUGAUGCAGCGAACCGCCGCGUGAGCGAAGAAGUAUUUCGGUAUGUAAAGCUCUAUCAGCAGGGAAGAUAAUGACGGUACCUGACUAAGAAGCACCGGCUAAAUACGUGCCAGCCGCAGC
rnacentral:rRNA from 1 species